AUGGCUGGGGGUAGCACAGAUGCAGCAACCAAGGAGAUGGAGGCAUUGCAUGUUGGGCAAACCAAGGAAACAGAUGAGAUUCUGAAAAAGGCGUCAGAUAGCAAUGGCGGGGCUCCCGAAGCUCAGUCCCCACCACCACCAGCAGAUGAUGAUGACGCACAAGUGGAUGGUCCAUCUGAAGGUGGAGCAGGAGCUUCAGCGGCUGCGAAGAAGAAAAAGAAGAAAAGCAAGGCCAAAAAGAAGAAGGACCCCCUUCAGCAGACAGAUCCUCCAUCAAUCCCUGUGGAUGAGCUUUUCCCUUCAGGAGAUUUUCCUGAGGGAGAAAUCCAGGAAUACAAGGAUGAUAAUUUAUGGAGAACAACUAGUGAAGAAAAGAGGGAACAGGAACGACUACAAAAACCAAUGUACAAUUCUGUUCGCCGAGCUGCAGAAGUCCAUCGACAGGUACGAAAGUACAUGAGGAGCAUUAUAAAGCCUGGAAUGCUAAUGAUGGAACUAUGCGAGACUUUGGAAAACAUGGUUCGGAAACUUAUCAAGGAGAAUGGACUGCAAGCUGGCAUUGCCUUUCCAACAGGAUGCUCGUUGAAUUGGGUCGCAGCUCACUGGACUCCAAAUUCUGGUGAUAAAACUGUACUACAAUAUGAUGAUGUGAUGAAGCUGGAUUUUGGGACACAUAUCGAUGGGCACAUAGUUGAUUGUGCAUUUACCGUCGCAUUUAAUCCCAUGUUUGAUCCGUUGCUGCAAGCAACGAGAGAUGCCACAAAUACUGGAAUCAAGGAAGCUGGAAUAGAUGCACGGCUUUGUGAUGUCGGUGCUGCAAUCCAAGAAGUCAUGGAGUCAUAUGAGGUUGAAAUUAAUGGGAAAGUUUUCCAAGUAAAAAGUGUGCGAAACCUCAAUGGACACAGCAUUGGACCAUACCAAAUCCAUGCUGGUAAAUCAGUCCCAAUUGUAAAAGGCGGAGAGCAAACUAAAAUGGAGGAGGGUGAAUUUUAUGCCAUUGAAACUUUUGGGUCUACAGGAAAGGGAUUUGUGAGGGAGGACUUGGAAUGCAGUCAUUACAUGAAGAACUUUGAUGUUGGGCAUGUACCGUUGAGGGUAGCAAAAGCCAAGCAGCUACUGGGGACAAUCAACAACAACUUUGGAACACUUGCAUUUUGCCGCCGGUACUUGGACCGCAUCGGCGAGACCAAGUAUCUCAUGGCACUGAAAAAUCUAUGUGAUGUUGGCAUUGUUCAGCCGUACCCGCCAUUGUGCGAUGUGAGGGGAAGCUAUGUGUCCCAGUUUGAGCACACCAUUUUGCUCCGGCCAACCUGUAAAGAAGUCAUAUCCAGAGGCGACGACUACUGA
rnacentral:rRNA from 1 species